GAUCCUGCCUCCAACACCCGGCUGCUCCCACGGGCUGCUCGCUCCAGGUGGGACUGAGACCCACACGAGGCCCCUCAGCUGGCACUGGCGUCGCAGGGAUGCUGGGCUGGCUGCAGGUCAGCACAUAGUGGGGAUGUGGUAGCAGGGAUUCUUGGCUGCCUGUGACUCACUGAUCUAUUGCAAAUAGCUUUGGGCAGUGCUGCUGUGAUAACAGCAAAAAUCAAACCCCCCAAAAUGCCUUCCUGCUCCAUCCUUUAGGUGGAUGUGCUACUGGCAGGGGUUUUGCCAGCACUAGGUGCAAGGGGCUGCUCACAGGGUGCAAUGAAACCCAGCUUUGAUUUUUUGUGUCUGUUUCACCCUUUCCUCUCUCUAUUCAUAUUUGUCAGCAGGACUUUCUCCCUUCCUAGGUAAUGAAACUGAGGGAGAUUUUCCCCUUUUGUGUUUUAAUGAUGAGAGAUGAGUCAGGAAGAGAUCACUGAAAGAAAAAGGCCUCCAGGUACUGGAAUAAAGGUGCAGGUGCCCCCCCUCUCCCCACACUGAUGCUGCUUGUUGCAGGCUGGGGUACACAGACUUCCUUUGGGUACUUGUCUGGCUUUGGUUUGGGAUGGCACAUAAGUGGAGCUGCAGCAUUUAGCCCUGUGAGUUCCAGUCUGUGCUUGACUCGCAGCCCUUUUGCUUCUUCCUCAGCAUCUUCCUGAUGAGGGCCAGAGAUUUCUGGUUUGGCACCGCAGACCAUCAACCACAACACACUGCACAACUCCCUGACACAGUCAGAGCCAUCAUUAGGUGUCACUGAAACCCACGCUGGUGAAGGUUUUAUUAGAGUGACCUCCUACAACAUCACAAACCCCAGACUACCCCUGUUCUCCAGAAAGAAUCUGUAGAGAUGGAUGGGCAGCUCUCUGUUGUCUUUCAGUGUGCAGAAACUCAGCUUUUCACCCAAGGAAGGAACUGAUGUCACCACUGGAAAAUCUGUGACAUCUCUGGGAGGAUCUGUGAGCCUGUGGCCACAGCAGGGCACCCUGCAGCAACCAGUCUUGCCAAUAAAAACAGGAGUUGAGCUGUUUUUGGAGUGGCUGUGACCUGGAUUUACUCUUGAAAGAUUGCACAGGUGUGCCCAGACACACUUGGAGCCAUGCGGCAGGAUUGCAAGGACCCUCUGACACUUCCAGGGAUGUCUCCAAGAUCCUCGUGAGGAACUGCACGUCCAUAGCGUGCGGCACAGCACUGUGUGUUGUGCUGGCUGCUGUGGAGCAGGUUCUCAUUUACUCUUCCCCAUGCCGCCUAGCAUGUCAAAGUCAAAUGGAUUUGCAUGCAAGUGUCUGCAAUCACCCACAAAAUGUGUUCUCCCUGCUUGAUCCAUCCAAUUACAUGACUAACUUUGCCUGGACUCAGUGGAGAUUGAUAGCAUUGGGAUCGGACUGCGGUCAAGGAACUGGAAAUCUGAUUUGAGGUACAGCAGAAGCACAGAGGAGCCACUGAAACAUGCCCCAGCGUGAGCUGCCUGACUAGAGCACAGUCACUAGUGGAGAUGACCUGUCUGGGCUUGUCUUCUGCUCAUGAAGCUCAAGAGAAUGAGCUGCUGGAAAGGCCUGGCUGCAGCUCCAAGGUGGAGGUAAACAGCAGUGCUUUGGAUAAUCCUGUCUGUGAUGCUCCAUCAGCAGCAGAUCCCAAAGGUAAACAGUCCCAACAAUCAGCAGUCCCAUCCACAGAGCAGCACUGUGAAGUUGCAAACUUUUCUAUCUUGCAAUACAGUCAGGACCUAACACACCUUCCAGUGGUGGGCCUUGGUCUUGUCCACACUUGUGUUCACAGACAACAAGGGAAACAUCCAUUUCACAGUAGUUCUUACUGUCAGCAUCUUUUCUGGUAUCCAGGCAGCUCCCCACAGCACCACAGUUAAUUUAGUCUUUACAGAUAUUCCCCUGAGCUGCAAAAAGCCUUCCAGAGCUGACCAGAGCUGCUAGCUACAGGCAGGAGGUGUUAGAGUAGAUCCUGGACCUAAUCCAGCUCAGGUUUGUUUGCCUUUUGCAGAAAGGCAAAACUCCAAAGUGCCUGGUUGGUUUUGAA